UCCUCUCCCAUAGCACUGGUCACACCCAUUCCCCCCAUGCUGGGUCCUGGUGGGUGUUCAGAGCCAAUUUUCAACCAAGGGCACAGUUGGGCUGUUUAGAUUAGUUACAAGAGUCCCCGCCAACCGUGGGGGUGGUGACCCCGAGGCCUUCUGUCUGCAGGACCCAGGGAGGUCUCAAAAUGUGAGUGUGUGUAACUCUGCCCCCACCCCCUCCAGGCAGCCGUGGGCUCUGCACUGCCUGGAGGAUGGAGGGCUCGACACAUAGCCUCAGAGCAGGGUUCUCUGAAAGCCUGGAACUCACUGGAGACCCGAAUCUACCUGGCCCAGGUCUCAGGCUAUGUUUGCCAGGGUGACUCUCAGAGAGCCAUGUCUUCUCAGCAAAAUAGAGGCACAGGUAGGCCUGAACCAGCACACCGGGUGGGACUGAAAGGGACAAGGUGUUAUCUAGCUUCUCAUAUUUCCUGUGACUCUACCUUUGGGCCUAUAGGUCUCAGUUCCAAGCCCCAAAGAUAGAGGAGGAUGAGGUCACAGUGCACCAGCAACAUAAUAUUUGUGAGCAGGCAGAAGACCCCAGAGUGGCCACCCAGGGUUAGAAGAGGCCCCUGGAGCUGCCCCCCAAAGCUGCCCUACUCACAGCUGCCCACAUUAGCCCUGAGGAAGACCUGCUUCCUAGAAGGUUCUGCUGCUGGGCUGUUGUAUAUUCUCCCUCAGACCCAGGUCAGCUAGGAGUACAUCAAUAUCCUUCUUGCCUUCCUUCCCCAGCUGGAGCUGGGGGUGACUUUCAAGGGAGGGCUCGAUCAAGGACAUUACAUGUGAGAGCGGCAAUGGCAGUCAGACGGUCCCACGUGGAGGCGCGCUAGCGGCUAUCUGGGUUGGCUGAAAGGACACAGACUCCCACGCGCAAUGUUGAAGUGUGAAACCUGCCUGAAGGCUGGGAGCCCCAAGUAGGUGUCCCACAGCUGAGCUCUGAGAAAAGGAACCUCCAGGUACCGAUCCCCUCUUCUGCCUCUUCCAGCUCCUAAGAGCAGCCUGCCCUCCUCGGCCCAUGGACUCAAUCUCUACCUUCAGAGCCAGCAGCGCUGUGACAUCUUCCUGCGCAACUGACGUCUGAUCACUUCCUUCACUCAAGGGCCUCUGUGAACCGUCUAAGACCGUCUCUUGAUUUUAGAUUUAUAACCUGUUCCCUCUCUAGAAGUCUCUUUGCCAUGUAGAAGAAUUGCAAGCACAGGUUUUAGGGUGGCCAGGUGGGUGUCGUGGGGUGCUCUGUCCUGCCAACAAUGGUGCUUUUGAAGAUAAUGGCCACCCACUCCUCAGGACAGCUGUUGGGAGGAGACGUGCAGGUCAGGUUCAUUCCAGAGGGGAUUGCAGAGUGACCGAGCCAGAUGCAGGGGACUCCCUGGCACUCUAGGGCUCCGCAGGUAGACAGUGCAGAGAGUAUGUGUAUAUGUAGCAGUAUUUGCAGCUCAGCCCACGAUUUAGGAUCCAGCAGACCAGGGUUCAGAUCCCAUCUCUGCUUCCUCUCAGGCCUCUGGCAGGGUGUAGAUGGAGGUGUGGGCGGGGCUGCUAUGGAGGAAGUCAGCAGAUGCUUCCGGUGACCUCAUUUCACCUGCACUGCAGCCUCUGUAGAAACAGCAGCUCAGAGAGGCCAAGUUCUCUUCUUGAGAUAGCACAGCAGCUGGGAGGGGCUGGGCUUUCCCAGGCCUUGGGAUUUCAAGCCAGGCUGUAGCUGCCCUGUACUCAUGCAUGGAAGGCCUCCUUCCCAUGUCCUUUAAAUCCAAUGACCACCUUUUAGUUUAAUGCAUCUGUUUUAAAAUGGAGCUUUAUAAGCUCCCACAGGUGGGAAAUAACAGAAUUCAUGGGCCGGCUAUAUAUAUUUUUAUAAGGCAUAUUAAAAUAAAUUUAUCACUAUAAAAGCAAAAA